CACCGUGCCGAUAAUCGGUACGGGUUGUGAGAGCAAGAACCCGGAGACGGUAUCUGAGACAAGAUACCGGGCCCUACGGGGCGCAGCAGGCGCGAAACCUUUACACUGCACGCCAGUGCGAUAAGGGGACCCCGAGUGCGAGGGCAUACAGUCCUCGCUUUUCGUGACCGUAAGAAGGUCUCAGAAUAAGAGCUGGGCAAGACCGGUGCCAGCCGCCGCGGUAAUACCGGCAGCUCGAGUGAUAGCCACUAUUAUUGGGCCUAAAGCGUCCGUAGCCGGCCGAACAGGUCCGUCGGGAAAUCCACCUGCUCAACAGGUGGACGUCCGGCGGAAACCAGUCGGCUUGGGGCCGGGAGACCAGAGAGGUACGUCCGGGGUAGGAGUGAAAUCCCGUAAUCCUGGACGGACCGCCGGUAGCGAAAGCGUCUCUGGAGAACGGACCCGACGGUGAGGGACGAAAGCUUGGGUCUCGAACCGGAUUAGAUACCCGGGUAGUCCAAGCUGUAAACGAUGCUCGCUAGGUGUGGCGUUGGCUACGAGCCAGCGCUGUGCCGUAGGGAAGCCGAGAAGCGAGCCGCCUGGGAAGUACGUCCGCAAGGAUGAAACUUAAAGGAAUUGGCGGGGGAGCACUACAACCGGAGGAGCCUGCGGUUUAAUUGGACUCAACGCCGGACAUCUCACCGGCACCGACAGUGUGCAGUGACAGUCAGUCUGAUGGGCUUACUUGAGCCGCUGAGAGGAGGUGCAUGGCCGCCGUCAGCUCGUACCGUGAGGCGUCCUGUUAAGUCAGGCAACGAGCGAGACCCGCGUCCUUAAUUGCCAGCAGCAGCCUUGUGCUGGCUGGGUACAUUAAGGAGACUGCCGUCGCUAAGACGGAGGAAGGAACG
rnacentral:rRNA from 1 species